AGUGAACGCUGGCGGUAGGCCUAACACAUGCAAGUCGAACGGCAGCACAGUAAGAGCUUGCUCUUACGGGUGGCGAGUGGCGGACGGGUGAGGAAUACAUCGGAAUCUACUUUUUCGUGGGGGAUAACGUAGGGAAACUUACGCUAAUACCGCAUACGACCUACGGGUGAAAGCAGGGGAUCUUCGGACCUUGCGCGAUUGAAUGAGCCGAUGUCGGAUUAGCUAGUUGGCGGGGUAAAGGCCCACCAAGGGGACGAUCCGUAGCUGGUCUGAGAGGAUGAUCGGCCACACUGGAACUGGGACACGGUCCAGGCUACUACGGGAGGCAGCAGUGGGGAAUAUUGGACAAUGGGCGCAAGCCUGAUCCAGCCAUACCGCGUGGGUGAAGAAGGCCUUCGGGUUGUAAAGCCCUUUUGUUGGGAAAGAAAAGCAGCAGGUUAAUACCCCGCUGUUCUGACGGUACCCAAAGAAUAAGCACCGGCUAACUUCGCG
rnacentral:rRNA from 1 species